UUUUGCUGAGAGAGUUUGUGUUGAUACUGAAAAAACACGAAUACGUGACAAAUAUGUCGGUUGCUUCAAAGAUCAUGAGUUUCAACGAAUGUUCAGAGGAUACGUCGUACAUUUGCAUCAAUCCAAUAGUAAUGAACAGUGCAUAAAAUUAUGUCAUGCUCGACGAUAUGUCUUUGCCGGGACACAAUUUGGUUAUGGCUGCUAUUGUGGAAACCAAGAGCCACGAGGUGCAACUCAUUUAAAAGUUGCUAAUAAACAUUGCGAUACACUUUGUCCAGGGCAUUCUUGGGAAAAAUGCGGCGGAUGGGGGUACAUGACUGUUUAUGAGACGGGCAUUGAACAACUUUUGAUAAGUGAAAAAGGAAAGCUGCUUGAAGAUAGCGACAAUAUUUCCGAUAAAAAAUGGUACAUUGCUUAAAACAAAAUAUUUUAAAUGAAAUUUUGUUUUUUUAAUUGCAGUAUUUCGAAAGAAUCGAAAUUUUAUACAA